rnacentral:rRNA from 1 species
AUAUCAUUAGCGGGAGGAAAGGAAAUCAACAGAGAUUCCAGGAGUAACGGCGAGCGAAACUGGAGAAGCCCACGCUGAAGCUUGUCGGAUUGAAUUCCGGCACGCAUUGUAGCGAAUCCACCUUGUCCUCCAAUGGCGACGAUCCACGAAGUGACCUGGAACGGUCUACCAUCGAGGGUAACAGUCCCGUAGUUGGUUGUCGCUUGCGGCUUGGCGGGAAUGGUAGAGUCGUGCUGUUUGGGAGUACAGCACUAAUCCGGUGGUGUGUUCCAUCGAAGGCUAAAUAUUUGUCGCGAGACCGAUAGCGCACAAGUA